CCCUGCGCCGACCCCCACCCCCCACCCUGCGCCUCCGCGGGCUCCUCCUCCCCGCACAGUCCCGCCCCCGUGCCGCCCCCGUCCCCCCGGGUGCGCUCCUCGAGUCAGCCCAGCGGUGUCGCCGUUGCCCUUGGAACCGGGCCACCCGCGCAGCCCCACUUUGGGGGUGUCGUUUCCAGCAGAGACGGGACCCCAGGGUGGGGGAGCGUGAGGUCAGAGAGCGCGUGCGGGGAAAACGGACCUGCGGUCCAGGGCGUCCGCCUGGAGUCAGGGGUCAGGGUCAGUCCUGGGGACUGGGGGGGGGGUCGUGGGGGGGGCCUGGGGGGGGGUUCCCCGGGGUUCAGGGGUCAGGGUCAGUCCCGGGGAAGCAGGGUGGGGCUCACAGCCCUUUGCUCCCCGCAGAGGAUUGCGGGUCCCUGUGAGCGACGCAGUCCUGGGCAGGUGUCCGCUGGGCAGUGUGUGUCCCACAGCUGCCUCCCAGGUCAGAGCCCUGCGGGCUGGACUGUGGACCCUGCGGGCUGGCGACAGGACAGCCAUCUGCCCAAGAAGACAGGAGCCACAGCCACUGAUCCUGUCAUAGACACGUGUAUUAUUGUGAACGGUGCCUGCCCCGCCCCAGCACACACUAGUUUCUUCAUUGCUACCUUUGGGACACAGCGCAGGACGGUGUCUCUUUUCCCGUGGCCCCUCUUGAGGAGGACUGUCUGCGCUCAGGCUGGAUGAUCCUCGUGCGGCCCAACAAGUGUGCACGGGAGCUGAGGCCACGGGCACAUUCUGCAGGUGAACAGCGUUCUGCAGGUGUCUGCCUUCACCUUGAGCGAGCAGAGUCGGCGUGGCCGGAGGCUGGAACACGCAGGCUCACCGGGGACAGGUGCACGUAGCGGGGAAGCGGACAGCCUGUGGAAAUCCUCAGUCUGCUUCCGUCGAUCUCGAAACGGAGAUGGCUUGGACCCAGCACACAGAGUCACGUGGAAAGCUCACCAGGACAUUUAUUUGGACGCUUUACAGUCUGAGCGCCAGCGGGAGGGAUGGAACCCAACAGCUGAGUUCCCCGCACGCAGCCCCGGGCCGGACGGAAAAAGCGGAGGCGUCACCACGGCCAUUGCAGGUGCCCGUCCUUCCCGGGCCUGCACGGAGCCCACUGCUCUGGUCUGUCAAGCGGUUGGUCACCCCAAACCUCCACCCCCGCUGGGGGCCACGCUCUUCUUACCAUUUGAUUCAUGUGGCCUGUGCUGCUCGGUCCCCAGCCAAUGUGCUGGACAGGCCACAGGUGCUGUAAAAUCUUUGCACGUGGCACAGGGAGCGGGGUGCCCGCACUCACUCGUGGCGGAACCCCGUGGCUGCCGUGGACAUGAACUAGGAACUGAGUGCCGGGCCAGGGCGGGGGGUGCCGUGGGCGCGGUGUGCCUGCUUCCUGGCCUAGUCUGGGCUGUCAGUCCCCUCUGGAACGCCCCGGGCCCAAGGGCAGAGCCCUGUCACAGCUGUGACGCACUCUGUGCGUAGUGAUGGGAAUAGAUGAGUCGGAACGGCCUCUCUAGAGCGACCAUCACUUUAUUGGAGAUGAAUAAAAAAAGACUUUUUAAAGGAUUUUUUUUUUUU
rnacentral:lncRNA from 1 species